UCGAAGGAGGAGCAGAGAACUAGGGAGACCCCUGGAGUCAGAAGCAAGGCAGAUGCCAGCCAUAGAGAAGCAGUGAAAGUACGAUAUACAGAAGAAAGGUAAUAAUCCCCCAGGCUAAAGUAUGAUUGAGUUUCUGCAGCUGCAUCGCUCUGUUGGCUGCUGAGGUUGGGCACUUCAGGAAAUGAGACAAGAAUUCAGCCGGCCUUGAACUCCCAGUAUAGUCCUGGGAGGGGCAAACAGUCUGCUAAGCAAGACUAUGAGCAUUUACACCUCUAGCAUUGAAGGGGUAGAGACUUGAAGAUUCCAGGAAUAUCCUAUCCAGCCAGCCUACCCCAAAUGGCAAGCUUCCUGUUUAUCAAGAGAACCUAUCUCGGCCCUGAGCUGUGGAUCAGUGUCUAUCCCUGGUAUACAAACAGUCUUCGUGUGCCUAUAGCACAAAGAGAGAUGCUCUCACAGCCUGGACUCUUA